rnacentral:tRNA from 1 species
CUCCUUGACAGCGCGCACGAAACGAGCGCCCGACGCGCUCAGGCUGCGACCGGGAUAAGUGUCCCGUGCUUGAGCUCGUAGAUCGUAUCUACGUAGGGCAG